GACGAACGCUGGCGGCGUGCUUAACACAUGCAAGUCGAACGGUAAGGCCCUUCGGGGUACACGAGUGGCGAACGGGUGAGUAACACGUGGGUGAUCUGCCCUGCACUUCGGGAUAAGCCUGGGAAACUGGGUCUAAUACCGGAUAGGACUCCUGGCUUCAUGGUUGGGGGUGGAAAGCUUUUGCGGUGUGGGAUGGGCCCGCGACCUAUCAGCUUGUUGGUGGGGUGAUGGCCUACCAAGGCGACGACGGGUAGCCGGCCUGGGAGGGUGACCGGCCACACUGGGACUGAGAUACGGCCCAGACUCCUGCGGGAGGCAGCAGUGGGGAAUAUUGCACAAUGGGCGCAAGCCUGAUGCAGCGACGCCGCGUGAGGGAUGACGGCCUUCGGGUUGUAAACCUCUUUCAGCACCGACGAAGCGCAAGUGACGGUAGGUGCAGAAGAAGGACCGGCCAACUACGUGCCAGCAGCCGCAGUAA
rnacentral:rRNA from 1 species